rnacentral:lncRNA from 1 species
CGUGCUAAGUUCCCAUUCAGUGCCAGACUUUGCAUAUCCAAAUUUACAUGUGAUCUGGGUGAUGUGCUAUUCCUUGCUGGAGGAGGUCAUCGGAUGACGUGACCACUACUUGAUCUGAGACCUGGACUGGGCACUUGGAGGCUCCUCACCCCCGCCCCUGGCCUUGGAAUGUGCAUUCCACUCUCCAUUGCCAUAGCUGGAGCCAUUUCAAGGACGCAGCCUUGAGAGAGCAGUGUGUUGUAGAGACCAUCUGGACUGUACACAUGAUGGAACCCAGUUAAGGCCUCUAUAUAUAAACUGUUACGAUUCUGGUGGGCGGAUGUGGAGAUCUACUCGUCCUGCGCCACUCGAGACAAGCCUGAAGCCACCUCAACUGAUUGAUAGGAGGCAGUGAACCCUUAAGGAAGCAAGAGAGACCAGUAGCAAGGUCCACAAUUUACCAGAUCUACUGAUGGAGAGGAGGCAGCCAUGAGAAGCAGGCAGCUCCCAACAUUUGCCACUGCAUUUGAGGGGUGUAUGACCAGACUGGGAUUGGAGGUGGAGCCCAGGGUGAUGGCUGUUACCUUUUGCUGCAUUUGGUUUCUUCGUG